rnacentral:lncRNA from 1 species
CCAAAAGACUUAGCCAAUGAGUACCUUUGUAGGCUGAGAGGGCGGGAUAAAUGCCCAAUGAGCGACUCGGAAGAGGAGCCAAUAAGCGGAGAGGUUGCUGGGGCAGCCGGCGUGGGCGGUGUCACUGAACUGGGCCACCUGAGCCAGGUGGAGUGUUACUCUUCUCUUCUGCCUUCUGCCUGUGACUAGCGCCGUCCCCCGCCGCCCGUCGACCCCGAUUCCAGGUCCCUGGCGGACACAUCGCCCUGGGACCUCCACGCCCAUGGCCACUAGGCAGAGGGAGUGUUCCUUCACCUCCUGCUCUUACACCUCGAGCUGCAACGCGGACGACGAGGGCAUGCGCAGCACCUGCGAAGAUGCUUCCCUGUGCAAGAAGUGACUGCCAGGCGCGGAGUUCGGGGCCGGCAUCGGGAGCACGGGCCUAGGUUUGCAGUAAGCAUUGGCUACUGGCAUGACCCUUACAUCCAGCACUUUGUGAGACUGUCUAAAGAGAGGAAGGCCCCCAAAAUCAAGAGGCAAGUUACCGUCUCCCUCCCCAGCAGCAUCUUAUCAGCCAAGAGACCUGAGGUUUCAGGGGUUCAUUCAUGUUUUUUUUUUUUCUCACUUUGUUACCCAGGCUGGAGUGCAAUGGAGCCAUCUCAGCUCACUGCAACCUCCGCCUCCCGGGUUCAAGCGAUUCUCCUGCCUCAGCCUCCUAAUUAGCUGGGAUUACAGGCACGCACCACCACACCCAGCUAAUUUAAAAAAAAAAAUUUUUUUUAUUUUAGUAGAGAUAGGGUUUCACCAUGUGGCCAGGGUGGUCUCGAACUCCUGACCUCAAGUGAUCUGCCCGCCUCAGCCUCCCAAAGUGCUGGGAUGACAGGCGUGAGCCACCGCGCCCAGCCUGUAGUCCCCACUGUUGGAGGUGGGGCCUGGUAGAAGGUGGUUGGAUCAUGCGGGUGGAUUUCCCAUGAAUGGUUUAGGACUAUCCUCUUGGUGCUGUUCUGAUAGUGAGUUCUCAGGAGAUCUGGUUGUUUAAAAGUGUGCAGCACUGUACGCCUUGCUUUCUCUGGCUCCUGCUCCCACCGUGUGAGAUGCCUUGUUCACCCUUUGCCGUCCCCCAUGAUUAGAAGCCUCCUGAGGCCUCACCAGAUGCAGAAGCUGCUAUAAUUCCUGUACAGCUGCAGAACUGUGAGCCAGUUAAACAUUUCUUCUUGGCUGGGCGUGGUGGCUCAUGCCUGUAAUUCCAGCACUUUGGGAGGCCGAGGCAGGUGGGGGGAACACCUAAGGUCAGGAGUUCAAGACCAGCCUGGCCAACAUGGUGAAACCCUGUCUCUACUAAAACUACAAAAAAUUAGCCAAGUGUGGUGGCAGGCACCUGUAAUCCCAGCUACUUGGGAGGCUGAGGCAGGAGAAUUGCUUGAACCUGGGAAGCAGAGGUUGCAGUGAGCUGAGAUUGCACCAUUGCACUCCAGCCUGGGCAACAAGAGCAAAACUCUGUCUCAAAAACAACAACAACAAUAAAAAACACACACGUACACACAUUUCUUCUUUAUAAAUUACCGAGUCUCAGGUAUUUCUUUUUAGCAGUGCAAGAAUUGACUAAUGCAAAGCCAGAUAUCAGGCUAGAGGGAUCAGAUUAUGAAAGGUACAGUCUGUAUGUCAGGCAAUGAAGUGCAGAUUUUUUUUUUUUUUUUUUUUUUUUUUUUUUUUUUUUUUUUGAGCGGAGUCUCGCUCUGCGCCAGGCUGGAGUGCAGUGCCAGAUCUCAGCUACUGCAAGCUCGCUCCAGGUCACGCAUUCUGCUCACUCCCAUAGCUGGAUACAG